ensembl:snRNA U6 U6 spliceosomal RNA
GUGCUCACUUCCUCAGCCCUUGUGCAAAAAUUGGAACGAUACAGAGAAAAUUGGUGUGGCCUCUGUGCACAGAUGACACACAAAUUCAUGAAGCGUUCCCUAAAAAA